AGACCCGAAACCCGGUGAUCUAGCCAUGGGCAGGUUGAAGGUUGGGUAACACUAACUGGAGGACCGAACCGACUAAUGUUGAAAAAUUAGCGGAUGACCUGUGGCUGGGGGUGAAAGGCCAAUCAAACCGGGAGAUAGCUGGUUCUCCCCGAAAGCUAUUUAGGUAGCGCCUCGUGAAUUCAUCUCCGGGGGUAGAGCACUGUUUCGGCUAGGGGGCCAUCCCGGCUUACCAACCCGAUGCAAACUGCGAAUACCGGAGAAUGUUAUCACGGGAGACACACGGCGGGUGCUAACGUCCGUCGUGAAGAGGGAAACAACCCAGACCGCCAGCUAAGGUCCCAAAGUCAUGGUUAAGUGGGAAACGAUGUGGGAAGGCCCAGACAGCCAGGAUGUUGGCUUAGAAGCAGCCAUCAUUUAAAGAAAGCGUAAUAGCUCACUGGUCGAGUCGGCCUGCGCGGAAGAUGUAACGGGGCUAAACCAUGCACCGAAGCUGCGGCAGCGACACUGUGUGUUGUUGGGUAGGGGAGCGUUCUGUAAGCCUGUGAAGGUGUGUCGUGAGGCAUGCUGGAGGUAUCAGAAGUGCGAAUGCUGACAUAAGUAACGAUAAAGCGGGUGAAAAGCCCGCUCGCCGGAAGACCAAGGGUUCCUGUCCAACGUUAAUCGGGGCAGGGUGAGUCGACCCCUAAGGCGAGGCC
rnacentral:rRNA from 1 species